rnacentral:rRNA from 1 species
UGGGGAAUAUUGGGCAAUGGGGGAAACCCUGACCCAGCGACGCCGCGUGAGGGAAGACGGUCUUCGGAUUGUAAACCUCUUUCAGCAGGGAAGAAGAAGUGACGGUACCUGCAGAAGAAGCCACGGCUAACUACGUGCCAGCAGCCGCGGUAAUACGUAGGUGGCAAGCGUUAUCCGGAUUUAUUGGGUGUAAAGGGUGUGUAGGCGGGACUGCAAGUCAGACGUGAAAAUCAUGGGCUCAACCCAUGACUUGCGUUUGAAACUGCGGUUCUUGAGAGUGGGAGAGGUAAACGGAAUUCCUGGUGUAGCGGUGAAAUGCGUAGAUAUCAGGAGGAACACCGGUGGCGAAGGCGGUUUACUGGACCACAACUGACGCUGAGACACGAAAGCGUGGGGAGCAAACA